rnacentral:rRNA from 1 species
AUUCCAGCUCCAAUAGCGUAUAUUAAAGUUGUUGCGGUUAAAAAGCUCGUAGUUGGAUUUCUGUUGAGGACGGCCGGUCCGCACUAUGUGCGUGUAUCUGGUUCGGCCUUGGCAUCCUCUUGAGGAACGUAUCUGCGCUUGAUUGCGUGGAGCGGUAUUCAAGACUUUUACUUUGAGGAAAUUAGAGUGUUCACGGCAGGCAAGCGCCUUGAAUACGUUAGCAUGGAAUGAUAAUAUAGGAUCUUGGUUCUAUUUUGUUGGUUUCUAGAGCUAAGGUAAUGAUUAAUAGGGAUAAUUGGGGGCAUUUGUAUUAACGCGUCAGAGGUGAAAUUCUUGGAUUGCGUUACGACAAACUACUGCGAAAGCAUUUGCCAAGGAUGUUUUCAUCG